rnacentral:lncRNA from 1 species
GCCGCUUUAGACUCUUGGUUUCUUCGGUACAACUGAUCACUGUCUCACCAUUAAAGGCUCAAAGAAAACGGUGGUGAAUGAAUGAAUGAACUGUGGGUUUGGUGAACAGCUUGGACUGACUGGACCAAAACAUUUCAGGAGCAACAAUCAGCCUGAUAAAUAGCAGAAACUACCUGAGAGAAAAGUACAUCCGAAACAGACGAGGAUAAAACAUUUAAACUGUAAGAUUUAUAUGUUAUAUGAUCAUUUAUAUUGUGUUUAAA